UGGAACCCUAGUUAAAAGCCAUGAAUUUCUUCGAACUAAAACAAUCCUAUGAAGAGAACCCCCUUCAUCAUGUAUUCAGUAAUCUCCACUUUCUUCGGAUCCCUAACCCAAACCCAAACCCAAACCCAAACCCGUUUUCUUCCAAACUUCCAUCACAGGAAAGAACUGUCGAUCAAUUAGAUAACAUGAAAAUCGAUUCUUCUUCUUCUUCUUCAAACUUGUCGGUGAUCAAAGAGCGACUGAAAGAGGUUCCGGUUUAUAGAUUGAAAUCAAAUCGUAGGCUUUCACUUGUACGUUCUCACGUGACAGAUAGGAGGGCUGGUUUAUUCUUUUUCAGUGAAGCUGAUGCUCAGGAUUCAGCGGCGGAUUACAACACAGUAGAAUUCAACAGAAAGCGAGGUGGCCUUCAAACGCUUAAGGUUCCACUUGCCGAGGUAUUGAUUAAUAUUCCAGAAAUUAUUUUUAUCAAAUUUGUUCGAUUUUCAAGACUUGUUUGUAACUAUAUAGUAAAUAUUGCAUACAUACACAGAUUAUUGAACUUGAAGAAUUAGGGUUCAAUAAGGCAAUGCCAUCUAUAUGUCAUUGGUUUGUGGCAGAAUUUUUACCCAUGUAUGCUCCAGCUAUGGUUAAUAGGUUUGUGGAAGAUAAGGUUGCCGAUCCACAUGUUUAUAUUAGGUUGGUCCCGGAUAUAUCUGAAGUUAAAAAUGCCCUUCAGGUCAGCACCAAAUAUUCAACUACGAACAUACAAAUACGCACACACACACACACACAAGCACGCAUGGCAUGUUUCUGUUGAAUUUGGUUGAUAACUAAGAUGGAUUUUAUUUUAUUUAUUCCCUACAGGAAAGAAAGAAAGCUGGUUUUCAUGGUGACACCUUUACUGGGGUUCCCGUCUUCCAGGUUCAGUUUACUAAAUGAGUCAUUUGCUCUUUUAUUCCAUAUUUUCCGUCACUUUUAAAUUUUCGAUACAUUCUUAUCUGAAAUAGCUUUUAGAUAAUAUCGUCGUAUUCUAACCCUAGCUGAACAUAUAUACACACACACACACACACACACACACAAAAAAAAAGGUUUAAUAGUAAUUGAGUCUCGUAUAUGAUGGGAUGCAGUCAGAUGCUUUAAAGGUGAGAGUCGAUGGAAGCCCAAAUAACCUUUCGCAUGCUUUCUUUCGAAAGGUAAAUUAGUAUAUAUAUUCUAGUGCCAUAUGUAUUUUCAUAUUUGUAUUAUAUAAUCGCCCAUCUUCCUUUUAUAAUGUGCAGGCGGACCUAGAAAACGCUCUACGUGGCAAAAAACAAACAGAUCACAUUGAUGAAAAAUCAGAUAUUAUUCAGGUUCCAAGUUCAUCUCAAUUAAAAUGUUGCAUGGGGUUUAAUCUUAAUACACCUAUAAUUAACGUAACUCAUCAUGUUUGAAAAGCUCUAUCCACUAAAUCUCGCUCGAGGUUUGAUUGCGAUUAUAGACUAACUAUAGUUACAAUACACUGUGUUUGUGUUGUAGGUGACUGCUCUUGAAGAUAUAAUACAAGAAAUGAAGGUGAGAAAACUUUCGCUGUUUUUCUUUCCCUUUCUCUUCCAUUCGACCGUCUAAUUAUGUAUUUCAUGAACAAGGUUAUCUCAUAGUAACUAAGCAAAUUGAGCAAAAGUAAUGAUAUAUAUUUUUUUACUUUGGCAGGAUUGCUCAACGUCCAAGUGGAACAAUGUUAUCCUCGUACCUCCCGGUGGAAAAUCCUCGUAAAUUUUUAUGUACAAUUCAAUACUGGAACAACUUAGUAUAUGUUUUUCUACUAAUUUUAUCUCAAUAUUGAAUUGUUGGUGUUAUGAGUUAUUACAUGAAUUUAUUUAUCCCUCUUAAUAUUAAGUUUCAACUACAAGAAUGAAUUUGGACACGUGAAGUAGUAGUAAUUUAUACUAUUUUUUUUUUUAGUAAAUUCAAGUCCAUUACAAGGGGUAGAGGGUAGUAGGGGAGGGUAGGGGUGAGCAAGUCGGACCCAUCAACCCGCUACACCCGUCAAACCCGUGAAAAACCGCCCCGUUGGGACCGGACGUAUAGAUCCAUCCAUAGGAUUGGGUCCUAAAAUGGUGAAGAACCGUGGGUUUGGGUCUUAGACGGGUUCAAUUUUUUUUAAUACCCGUGAAACCCGUCCCGCCCCGCCAUACAAAACGACGUCGUUUUAUUUACAUUAUAUAGUAUAAUAAAUUAAUAAUAUUAAUGAAUAAAUAAAGUAUCUCUAGUGUAUCAAAUACAUAAAUCAACUAAACUAUAAUUGUGGAAGUAAUAGCUAUAAAGAUUAUGAAAAUCUCUAAGAAAAUGUAGGAAAAAAAGCAUAUAUAUACAACGGUCAACACACGGCAGAAAAAAAGGAAGAAAAUGGUGUUGAAUGGAGCUGAAUAGCGUUGGUUAUGCUUGAAAAAACUAUAUUUAUUUUAUUUAAAUUUUGUCUUUUUAAGUUAUGAAUUAGUUAUUUUUAGUUUUAUAUUAAUUUUUAUUUACUCUUGACAUUUACUUUAUUUAUGUUUGGUUUCAAUUUAAAAUUUUAGGUUAUUCAUUUUAGUUUCUAAUUAUUCUCCCGUAAAACUUAUAAAUUAUAUAUAUAAAAAAAAUAGUUUAGACGAUAACGGGUUUCGACCCGUAAAGGUUGGGUCCUACUACAAACCCGCCAUGGACCCGCCUAUCAUAAACCCGUUAAAAACCCACAAGUUUGGUUCUUCAAAAUCAAGGGCGGGUUUUGAUAGAACCCGCGGGUUUAUGACCUGCGCACACCCCUAGGGGAGGGGGACUCGAACCCUAUUGGUAAAUGCUAGAUACCAACUCUGAUAAUGAGGGUUGGUUGGUAAUUUAUACUUCUAAUUUAACUUUUUUUAAAAGGUUGAAAGGGUUAUCAAACUUUUUCAUCUCACAACCCCCUAAAUGAAUAGUUUUGGCCUUUUGGGGGUAAUUUUCUGAAAAAAAAACUGCAACAUAGGAGAAUAUUUGGUAAUAUUAAUAGUGUGAGGUACUUUUAAUAAUUAGAGUAAACUUAGGGGUGCUAAAUGCAAUAAACACACACAAGUACAUUUAUUGGGCUGAAUGAGAAAUACUUGGCCCAGUGAGCUGAAUAAUUAGCAGGCCCGCCUUUCCUAUACACAGUGGUAUCAUUCUUUCAAAAUUUCAAUAAAUAAUAAAAAGAAUCAAAUUAAUUAUCAAAAAAAAAAAAAAAAAAAAAAUCAAAUUGCAGUGGGCAAAUCCCUAACAAUUAGGCUAAAAUAAAAAUUCCAGAACUCGGUGGGAAAUUGCAAUGGAUACUCUUUUUUUUUUUUUUUUUUUUUAAUCUUUUUCUUGACGGAGGAGUUCUCGAAUUACCCAGCUCAUUCAAUGCUUCUUCCGAGGAAAACGACCGGAGAAAAAACCGAUCAAGCAAAACCCCCAAUCUUCAUCAAAAUUUUCAGCAUCAGCCUCCUCAAAUUCAAAAAUUCCCCCCUCCGUAUGGAUCUCUUCCACCAUCGCAGGACUUCGAUUGCGUUUGAAGAGGUCAAACCACGGAGUAUUAGCUACUUUCCCAAACUUUCCAGCACCACAACUUCUUUGAGGUAUUUUCUCGAACACAUUGUUUGCAUCAUUUCACCUUCUGUAGCUAUUUCAGGUUGCGAUCGAUAACAGCUAGUGUGUGCGCUUGUUAGUUUAUUGGUGUGUGUGUGUGUGUGUGUGUGUGUGGAUGAAGGGAUAAACCAAGCACACAAAAACAUACAUAGCAACAGUGAACUUUACAGCAUUGCGAUUCUCGUAUAUAACCGUAUUUCGUUUUCAUCUUUACAAUAGAACUUAUUUGCUGAUAUUUUGGCAUGCUAACAUAUAGCUACUUUCUUUACCGAUUACCGAAACUAAUGAGAAAUUCAAUCAUUUUGAUAGGAAAGGAGAAAGUCUUCGUCUACUGCCAUUGCAUCCGACCAGUCGAGUGUAUAAUACUCAUCCAUCAUGCUGUUGAUAGAACACACAAAUGUAGUUCCUUAUGAUCAGGUAAUGAUAAAUAGAAGAAUCAUGCUUUUCUUAUUAUGUAAAAUAAUUCAUUUUGCUCGACAGGUAAUAAAAUGGGGAAAUCAUUAUAUUAUACACAUUCUAUGAAACCAAAAAACAGACAACUUUGAAACUCUAUCUAACUAGCUAGUUUAGUUGUCCUUCUUCAAAAAAUAUGUCCAUGCCCAUGAUGUUACCCGGAGGUACGAAAACGACAUCAUUCCACUUGAAUGUUGAGCAAUCCUGCAAAAUAUAUAUGACAAUCAACAGUUGAUGGGCACGGAAAUGCAAUAAACGACUAGAUAUUUUUGUUAAGGCCUUCUCACCUUCAUUUCUUGUAUUAUAUCUUCGAGAGCAGCAACCUAGUUACGGGCAUAUGAAUAUACAUAUUUAUCAGGAUAUUUAGUCGAGCCAAACGUGGCCAUAGUAAUAACAACAUUAUCAGAAUUAAGAAAACCUGAACAGUGCCUCUUUGCUUUGGUGCUUUAGUCUUAGCUGAAUUACUUAUAAUAAAAUUAUCGAAAAUAUUCUGUAUUUACUGUUAUUAGCAAAUGAUUUAUUUGUUUGAUUAUAUGAAGAGUAAUGUUAUGUUGAAAUUUUUUCUUGGAUGACAUUCAUGAUUCAUACACAUUUUCUGAUUUCUGCCAAAAUUGGUUUCUGCAAGUGAUGAUUGCAAAAUCAAGGUGUGGAAUUAUAAAUUGCUUUUAUUUUAUUUUGAAAUGGUUUCUUCUGGGCAAUAUUUCAAACACUUGGUCUACAGCCGUUUAUUGCAUCCAACCAAUCGGGUGUAUGAUGCUUAUAAUCCACCAUGCUGUUGAUACAACACAUAAAUGCAGUUUCCUUUUCCCUAAUCAGGUAUUUUAUUGCAUCGUGUUUGGUAGUUUCAAAACAGGGAAAACAUUAUUAUAUGCAAUUCUAUGAUACGAGAACACAGACAACUAUGAAACUCUAUCCAACUAGCUAGAUUAAUUACUUGUCCUCCUUCUCAAACACCAUGUCCAUGAUUUUACCAGGAGCUACAAAUACGGCAUCGUUCCACUUCGAUGUUGAGCAAUCCUGCAAUAUAUAUAAUAUAUAUGUAUGUAUGAAUCGACACUUGAUAGGCACAUAAAUUCGUUAAAUGACGAAAACAUUUAAAGCUUCUCACCUUCAUUUCUUGUAUUAUAUCUUCCAGAGCUGCAACCUAAUGUGCAUAUGGGUUAGGAAUAUGUAUAUGUGUGUGUGUAUGUGUGUGUGUGUGUGUGUGUGUGUGUGUGUGUGUAUAAGAGGAAUAUAACAGUAUGUGAAUUAAAAACCUGAAUAGUGCCUCUUUGCUUUGGUGCUUUAGCAUUAGCUAGAGCCUUUUCGAGGUCCGUCUGCAUAAUUUAUAACACAACACAGAUUGAAUGUCAAUGUAUUAAUGUAGAAAUAUAUAAUAUUAAAAGAGAAUAAAGUGAAGUAUAGUUUUUGCCCUUUCUCUUACCUUCCUUAAAAAAGCAGGACGAUAUUUCUGCUCCCCCUCGCCUUUAACUAUCAAGCUGUCUGACUGAAUCAAUUUAUGAAAUCAAUUAUCAGUUUGUAUGCAUGUCUGAAAAAAAGGUAGGGAGGUGAUCUUCGUUUUUUUAAGACAUUAAUUUCUCUUCUAUAUCAGAUAUUUGAAGAUAUAAAAAAUGGGGGGAAAAACCGAGGAUCGUUUAGAAAGUAGAACCUGGAAUACUGGAACUCCAGCAAAUACCCCAUCUGAAAAACCCGCAAUAUGUUUCUUCUUUUCCUGUGCAUAUUUGAUAUGAAGAAAUAAUAGUAAAAUCUAAAAAAGAAAUACAUUAUUACUAGUAGAAGUGAUUCCACACCUGUAUGGCGUUUUUUACUUCGGAUAACUCUGGUAUCAACCUUAUGGGAGCGGGGUCUCCUUCAAAAUCGAUGACCUAUAAUUCAAAUAAGUGAAUCGAUCAAUUAUGAGAAUUGGCAAAUUGCGUAAUAUGCAUGAGUAGUCGUAAUCUUGUGUAAUGAUUCUGCAGGUGUACACACCUCUGUAAGUCGAGCAUCAAAGAUUCGAGCGUCGGGCGAGCAUUCAAUCCUCUCCUUAAAAUUGAGAGCAUCUGGCUUAUUUAAGAAGUAGAAUCCAAUCUUUCUAUCCCCAAAUUCAGAAAUACCUUUUAUAUUAUCUUGUGAAUCGUUUGACAGUUUAUAUACAGGGAUCUCAGCCAAGCGGUUCUUGAUUUCUGUGUUAGAGAGUGCGUAAUCAGCCGCACCACCACCACCGCCACCACUAAUUGGUCGACUAUUAUCUGAAGAAGAAGAAAUAGAAGCAAACCGGUUCGGCAUCGCUCGAGUAAUGUUGGAGAAGUUGGUUUGGAGGCAGUUCAAGACAUGACAAAGAGGAGGUUGCGAAGAUUGCUCUUUUGGCUUCAAGCAGUUCAUCUUUCUUCUCUGUUCCCAAAAAAACAAAACCUAUACAUAAUAUACGCACAUAUAUUUAUAUUAUAUAAUAUAUAAUUGUUGUAUUUUUUUUAAUUGAGAAUUGUGCUUAUUUGUAGGGUUGGAAAGAAGUCCAAAUCAAGUACGUGCAGAAUCCCUGGUAUGAUUUACUUCUGUUGAAUAUGGCCUUUUACUUGGAAGGUGGUAUUUAAGUCCUAAAAAAGAUUUCAAUUAUAUAUAUAUAUAUAUAUAUAUAUAUAUAUAUAUAUAUAUAUAUAUAUAUUAACUGAAAUAUUUGGUUACUGUCUCUUGAAACAUCAAAAUAAUUGGAACCCUAGUUAAAAGCCAUGAAUUUCUUCAAACUUAAACAAUCCUCCGAUGAAGAGAACCCCCUUCAUCAUGUAUUCAGUAAUCUCCAAACCCACUUCACCAACUUUCUUCGGAUCCCUAACCCAAACCCAAACCCAAACCCGUUUUCUUCCAAACUUCCAUCACAGGCAAGAACUGUCGAUCAAUUAGAUAACAUGAAAAUCGAUUCUUCUUCUUCUUCAAACUUGUCGGUGAUCAAAGAGCGACUGAAAGAUGUCCCAGUUUAUAGAUUGAAAUCCAAUCAUAGGCAUCCACUUGCACGUUCUGACGUG
rnacentral:lncRNA from 1 species